rnacentral:rRNA from 1 species
GUGGGGAAUAUUGGACAAUGGGCGAAAGCCUGAUCCAGCCAUGCCGCGUGUGUGAAGAAGGUCUUCGGAUUGUAAAGCACUUUAAGUUGGGAGGAAGGGCAGUAAGUUAAUACCUUGCUGUUUUGACGUUACCAACAGAAUAAGCACCGGCUAACUUCGUGCCAGCAGCCGCGGUAAUACGAAGGGUGCAAGCGUUAAUCGGAAUUACUGGGCGUAAAGCGCGCGUAGGUGGUUCAGCAAGUUGAUGGUGAAAUCCCCGGGCUCAACCUGGGAACUGCCUCCAAAACUACUGAGCUAGAGUACGGUAGAGGGUAGUGGAAUUUCCUGUGUAGCGGUGAAAUGCGUAGAUAUAGGAAGGAACACCAGUGGCGAAGGCGACCACCUGGACUGAUACUGACACUGAGGUGCGAAAGCGUGGGGAGCAAACAGGAUUAGAAACCCUUGUAGUCC